GGCUAACGCUGGCGGCGUGUCUUAGCCAUGCAAGUCGAGCGGACUUAUGGGGUAACUUAUAAGUCAGCGGCGGACGGCGGAGUAACACGUAGCUAACCUACCCUCUGGACGGGGAUAACCUACCGAAAGGUGGGCUAAUACCCGAUGUAGUCAUCCUGUAUAGGGGUGAUGAAAGGUGGGCUUCUGUUUACAAGCUCAUGCUGGAGGAGGGGGCUGCGGCCUAUCAGGUAGUUGGUAGGGUAAUAGCCUACCAAGCCGAUGACGGGUAGCCGGCCUGAGAGGGUGACCGGCCCGAGGGGCACUGAGAUACGGGUCCCACUCCUACGGGAGGCAGCAGGCUAGAAAUUUGGGCAAUGGGGGAAACCCUGACCCAGUGACGCCGCGUGCAGGAAGGAGCCCUUCGGGGUGUAAACUGCUGUCGUGUAGGGAGAAGGGUACUAAGGUGAACAAUCUUAGUACUUGACGGUACUACAGGAGGAAGCCCAGGCUAACCUCGUGCCAGGCAGCCGCGGUAAGAUAGCGUACU
rnacentral:rRNA from 1 species